GAGAAUUUAUCAAUUAUUUAAAGUACCUCGGAUUGGCCAAUCAGAGCCAUAGUCGAGCUGUCAGUGCGUCUUGCUUUAGCCAAUAGCGUGGCUGCAUUUUCUUACACGAGGCAGCCGGAAAAUAUGAAAUUCUGUGCUUUGGAUAAUAUUUGGGCAACCUGGACGAAGGCAGCAUUCUAUUCUGGCGAAGUUGUUCGAAGCAUUUGGAAACGAAAAUUAUGGCCGAAAUUGCUCCAUUUAUCUCGCCUUUGAAGCGAAAGUCUGAUUAGCUUUCUCUGCUACACUUAUUGGUGAAACGAACAGG